AAUCAUCCCCUAAAAUGAUGAAACAACAAACCCCAUCACAGCCUUAGGAAGAGCCGGAAAAGGUAUGGCAGCAUCGACAAAUGCAGCCGUCGAUGCUUAGAAACGGGUCUCUGAGUAACGCUUUCUU
rnacentral:snoRNA from 1 species